rnacentral:rRNA from 1 species
GGGUGAGUAAUGCGUAGAAAUCUGCCCUUUUGUGGAGGAUAACCUGGGGAAACUCAGGCUAAUACUGCAUAAUCUCUACGGAGCAAAGCGGGGGAUCUUCGGACCUCGCGCAGAAGGAUGAGUCUACGUCUGAUUAGCUAGUUGGUGGGGUAAUGGCCUACCAAGGCGACGAUCAGUAGCUGGUCUGAGAGGAUGAUCAGCCACACCGGGACUGAGACACGGCCCGGACUCCUACGGGAGGCAGCAGUGGGGAAUAUUGGACAAUGGGCGAAAGCCUGAUCCAGCCAUGCCGCGUGUGUGAAGAAGGCCUUAGGGUUGUAAAGCACUUUAAGCAGGAAAGAAAAGCGCCGGAUUAAUAAUCCGAGCGUGUUGACGGUACCUGCAGAAUAAGCACCGGCUAACUCCGUGCCAGCAGCCGCGGUAAUACGGAGGGUGCAAGCGUUAAUCGGAAUUACUGGGCGUAAAGCGUGCGUAGGCGGUCGCGUGUGUCGGAUGUGAAAGCCCCGGGCUCAACCUGGGAAUUGCAUUCGAAACUGCGUGACUAGAAUAUGGUAGAGGAAGAUGGAAUUCCACGUGUAGCGGUGAAAUGCGUAGAUAUGUGGAGGAACACCAAUGGCGAAGGCAAUCUUCUGGGCCAAUAUUGACGCUGAGGUACGAAAGCGUGGGUAGCAAACAGGAUUAGAUACCCUGGUAGUCCACGCCGUAAACGAUGAGAACUAGACGUUGGUUGACAUAGUCGAUCAGUGUC